rnacentral:rRNA from 1 species
UACGUAGGUGACAAGCGUUGUCCGGAUUUACUGGGCGUAAAGAGCGCGCAGGCGGUCGAUCAAGUCGAGUGUGAAAGCCCCCGGCUCAACUGGGGAGGGUCAUUCGAAACUGGUCGACUCGAAGGCAGGAGAGGGUAGUGGAAUUCCCGGUGUAGUGGUGAAAUGCGUAGAUAUCGGGAGGAACACCAGUGGCGAAGGCGGCUUCCUGGACCAGAACUGACGAUCAGGCUCGAAAGCGUGGGGAGCAAACAGG